CCUACGGGUGGCAGCAGUGGGGAAUAUUGCACAAUGGGGGAAACCCUGAUGCAGCGACGCCUCGUGAGUGAAGAAGUAUUUCGGUAUGUAACGCUCUAUCAGCAGGGAAGAAAAUGACGGUACCUGAUUAAGAAGCCCCGGCUAACUACGUGCCAGCAGCCGCGGUAAGACGGAGGUGGCAAGCGUUAUCCGGAUUUACUGGGUGUAAAGGGAGCGUAGACGGCAGCGCAAGUCUGAAGUGAAAUGCCGGGGCUUAACCGCGGAACUGCUGUGGAAACUGGGCAGCUAGAGUGCUGGAGAGGUAAGUGGAAUUCCUAGUGGAGCGGUGAAAUGCGUAGAUAUUAGGAGGAACACCAGUGGCGAAGGCGGCUUACUGGACUGUAACUGACGUUGAGGCUCGAAAGCGUGGGGAGCAAACAGGAUUAGAUACCCCUGUAGUC
rnacentral:rRNA from 1 species